rfam:Dipodomys ordii contig_48254, whole genome shotgun sequence.
GGUGGCUCAGUGGUAGAGUGCUUGCCUUGCAUGCAUGAGGUCCUGGGUUCGAUUCCUCAGCACCA